GUCAUGCUUGACUCCUUGUA
rnacentral:snRNA from 1 species